rnacentral:tRNA from 1 species
CGCUCCCUUCGUCUAUCGGUUAGGACGCCACCCUUUCACGGUGGAGAGAGCGGUUCGAUUCCGCUAGGGAGCGCCAC